rnacentral:rRNA from 1 species
ACGCUCGACACCUACGUGAGGCAGCAGUGGGGAAUAUUGCACAAUGGGGGAAACCCUGAUGCAGCGACGCCGCGUGGAGGAAGAAGGUCUUCGGAUUGUAAACUCCUGUUGUUGGGGAAAAAGAGGAUGGUACCCAACAAGGAAGUGACGGCUAACUACGUGCCAACAGCCGCCGGUAAGUACUGAGCGGGCGUGGCGAAGGCG